rnacentral:rRNA from 1 species
UUACAGUGAACGGAGGGGAGGUUGCAGCCGUGCUUAGGUACGUGCGCGCCUUUUCCUUGCCAUCCACUUACACCUGUGCACCUGUCGGGGAGCGCCUUAUCGGCCUCGCCGCCCUUUACACCGGCCCCUUUGAAUUGUGAACGCAUGUCGAGCCCCACGGGGUAGGAGUUAAAUACAACUUUCAACAACGGAUCUCUUGGCUUUCGCAUCGAUGAAGAACGCCGCGAAAGCGCGAAACGUAAUGUGAAUUGCAGAAUUCAGUGAAUCAUCGAAUCUUUGAACGCAUCUUGCGCCCCUUGGUAUUCCGAGGAGCAUGCCUGUUUGAGUGUCGUGUCGAACCCUCAAAGCGUUUCCCUUUGACCGGGGAAGGGCUUUGGAUUUGGAUGUUUGCGGCUGGGCCCUAGAGGCCCCGGCCGCUCGUCUUGAAAUGCAUUAGCUGGGUCCCCUCGGACGACGACGGUGUGAUAAUGAACGCUUUGUGGCGCCGUUUGAAUCGAGUGCGGGCUUGGCCGACAGCGGUCCCUUCGCGGACGAUUAGAAAAGUGUGACCUCAGAUCAGGUAGGACUACCCGCUGAACUUAAGCAUAUCAAUAAGCGGAGGAAAAGAAACUAACAAGGAUUCCCCUAGUAACGGCGAGUGAAGCGGGAUGAGCUCAAAUUUGUAAUCUGGCGGCCUUUGGUCGUCCGAGUUGUAGUCUGGANAAGCGUUUUCCGCGUCGGACCGUGUACAAGUCCCUUGG